GAGGCAUCUGUUACCACGACCAGCACAGAAAAUGUUCUUGCAACGAGGGGUUUACCGGGGAACAGUGCGAGUUGACCAAGUGUCACCAGGGUGCGGACUUCUGUCACGGCCACGGGUAUUGCUAUCGAGACCACGGUGGCGAUAAAUGUAAAUGUUUUGAUGGGUUCCUCGGAGACCGGUGUGAAAAGGAAAUAUGUUUGCGGAGUGAAUGUAGUUACCAUGGUAACUGUUUCAAGAUCAACGGUCACGUGACGUGUGAAUGUAAACAUGGCUACUUUGGACAUGUCUGUGCCAAUGAUCCUUGUAGCAACGUCACUUGUCAAAACAACGGGGCGUGUCACAAACUGAAUCACGAACCCUUCUUCGAAUGCCGAUGUAACCAUGACUAUCGGGGAC